rnacentral:rRNA from 1 species
AACGAACGCUGGCGGCAGGCUUAACACAUGCAAGUCGAACGGGUGUAGCAAUACAUCAGUGGCAGACGGGUGAGUAACACGUGGGAACCUUCCUAGGGGUACGGAACAACUCAGGGAAACUUGAGCUAAUGCCGUAUACGUCCGUGAGGAGAAAGAUUUAUCGCCCUUAGACGGGCCCGCGUCGGAUCAGCUAGUUGGUGGGGUAACGGCCUACCAAGGCGACGAUCCGUAGCUGAUCUUAGAGGAUGAUCAGCCACACUGGGACUGAGACACGGCCCAGAUUCCUACGGGAGGCAGCAGUGGGGAAUUUUGGACAAUGGGCGCAAGCCUGAUCCAGCCAUGCCGCGUGAGUGAAGAAGGUCUUCGGAUUGUAAAGCUCUUUUGCCAGGGACGAUAAUGACGGUACCUGGAGAAUAAGCCCCGGCUAACUUCGUGCCAGCCGCCGCGGUAA